AGAUCACCCAAGGGAAAUUCAACGGUUUCCACUACACAACAUCAACAUCGCCUUGGAAAAGUUCCAUUCUUUGAAGAUUAUUGUUUAUAAAUUCUAACCCAUAUAAUACUCAACUCUUUGCCUUCAUUCACAAGUUUUCUUCUCUUAUCUCUCUUUCUCUCUCAAAUUCAAGAUUAAUAAUCAACCAGAAAGAAAUGGUAGUCUUCCUUUUCAAGCUGAUUUUCUUUGCUGUAAACACAAUCUCAAAUCUCGUUUCACGCUUAAUCUUCACUGUUACAGCUUACCUUCUAGUGUUGAUCAUCCAAGCUUUCAAGGUACCUGGUGAAGCUGCCCAUGGUGCACUUCAACAGAUUGCAGAGGCUGUCAAGGCAUGUUUUGAUUACAUGUUGGAGCUAAUAAUAGAGGCAAUAAGUAGUUUAAUAUCUAGUGGUUUUGAUCUUCUUACAGAAGCAGUUACGGGUUCUGCUGCUGUUACUGGGUCGGCUAUUGGAGUUGUAGUUGAGAAGACAAGAUCAUCUCUUGACGGGUUGUUGAAAGAUUUACCUGAGCUUGCUGAUAGUUUCUCAGAGAUGGUUUCAACCCUGGUCACAGAUUUGUGGAAUAACUACAAGGAAGCUGUGGGAUAUGUCACU
rnacentral:misc_RNA from 1 species